AACGAACGCUGGCGGCAGGCUUAACACAUGCAAGUCGAACGCAUGCCUUCGGGCAUGAGUGGCAGACGGGUGAGUAACGCGUGGGAACCUACCCCUUGGUACGGGAUAGCUCCGGGAAACUGGAGAUAAUACCGUAUGUGUCCUGAGGGACAAAGAUUCAUCGCCAAGGGAUGGGCCCGCGUCGGAUUAGCUAGUUGGUGGGGUAACGGCCUACCAAGGCGACGAUCCGUAGCUGGUCUAAGAGGAUGAUCAGCCACAUUGGGACUGAGACACGGCCCAAACUCCUACGGGAGGCAGCAGUAGGGAAUCUUCGGCAAUGGACGAAAGUCUGACCGAGCAACGCCGCGUGAGUGAAGAAGGUUUUCGGAUCGUAAAACUCUGUUGGUAGAGAAGAACGUUGGUGAGAGUGGAAAGCUCAUCAAGUGACGGUAACUACCCAGAAAGGGACGGCUAACUACGUG
rnacentral:rRNA from 1 species